GAUCCUGGCUCAGAUUGAACGCUGGCGGCACGCCUUACACAUGCAAGUCGAACGGCAGCACGGACUUCGGUCUGGUGGCGAGUGGCGAACGGGUGAGUAAUGUAUCGGAACGUACCUUUCAGUGGGGGAUAACGUAGCGAAAGUUACGCUAAUACCGCAUAUUCUGUGAGCAGGAAAGCAGGGGAUCGCAAGACCUUGCGCUGAUUGAGCGGCCGAUAUCAGAUUAGCUAGUUGGUGAGGUAAAGGCUCACCAAGGCGACGAUCUGUAGCGGGGUCUGAGAGGAUGAUCCGCCACACUGGAACUGAGACACGGUCCAGACUCCUACGGGAGGCAGCAGUGGGGAAUUUUGGACAAUGGGGGCAACCCUGAUCCAGCCAUGCCGCGUGAGUGAAGAAGGCCUUCGGGUUGUAAAGCUCUUUCGGCCGGGAAGAAAUCGCAUGGGCUAAUACCCUGUGCGGAUGACGGUACCGGCAUAAGAAGCACCGGCUAACUACGUG
rnacentral:rRNA from 1 species